GCAGAACUACACAAUCUCCAGAAGUUAAAGUUGUUUUGCUAAUAACAAUAACAGAUGAUUGGCAAGAAAAAAAGCCAGCGUACUAUUUCUCGUAGAGAGGAAAUGGCUCCUAUUGAAUAACACUAUUCGUGAACUAAGGAAUGUGAAUUAGCAGUAUGUCCACUGUCCUACUCUGGGGGCUCAGAUCCAUUCUUUCUAUGAAGUGAACCGCAGCAAGUUUACCACCCUCUGAGGAUGUUGACCGAAGUGCUGAUUCUGUUAGAGCUGAAAACUCCCAGUGAGGCCAAGGAUUUCACCCGAAUAAG